CAUUAUUCUCAGGGCGGGGUGAAAGUCCCCACCGGCGGUAUCGGGCAAUGCCCGGAGCCCGCGAGCGCUUACCGGUUGAUCUUUGGGCCGCAAGAUUUUGGGCUUGAUGCAUCACCGGCAGGUUAGCAGAUCCGGUGCGAUGCCGGAGCCGACGGUAUAGUCCGGAUGAAAGAGAAUGAGA
rnacentral:ncRNA from 1 species